rnacentral:rRNA from 1 species
AAUGAACGCUGGCGGCAGGCUUAACACAUGCAAGUCGAGCGAGAACGGUCCUUCGGGACUUAUUAGAGCGGCAAACGGGUGAGUAACACGUGGGAACGUACCUUUCAGUCUGGGAUAGCCAUUGGAAACGAUGAUUAAUACCGGAUAUUCUCUACGGAGGAAAGAUUUAUCGCUGAAAGAUCGGCCCGCGCUAGAUUAGCUAGUUGGUGAGGUAAUGGCUCACCAAGGCUACGAUCUAUAGCUGGUUUGAGAGGAUGAUCAGCCACACUGGGACUGAGAUACGGCCCAG